rnacentral:tRNA from 1 species
GGGCUGGGGCUCAGGGGUAGAGUGCCUGCCUGGCAUGCGUGAGGCACUGGGUUCAAUCCUCAGCACCACA